CUGCGUACCUUUUGUAUAAUGGGUCAGCGACUUAUAUUCUGUAGCAAGGUUAACCGAAUAGGGGAGCCGAAGGGAAACCGAGUCUUAACUGGGCGUUAAGUUGCAGGGUAUAGACCCGAAACCCGGUGAUCUAGCCAUGGGCAGGUUGAAGGUUGGGUAACACUAACUGGAGGACCGAACCGACUAAUGUUGAAAAAUUAGCGGAUGACUUGUGGCUGGGGGUGAAAGGCCAAUCAAACCGGGAGAUAGCUGGUUCUCCCCGAAAGCUAUUUAGGUAGCGCCUCGUGAAUUCAUCUCCGGGGGUAGAGCACUGUUUCGGCAAGGGGGUCAUCCCGACUUACCAACCCGAUGCAAACUGCGAAUACCGGAGAAUGUUAUCACGGGAGACACACGGCGGGUGCUAACGUCCGUCGUGAAGAGGGAAACAACCCAGACCGCCAGCUAAGGUCCCAAAGUCAUGGUUAAGUGGGAAACGAUGUGGGAAGGCCCAGACAGCCAGGAUGUUGGCUUAGAAGCAGCCAUCAUUUAAAGAAAGCGUAAUAGCUCACUGGUCGAGUCGGCCUGCGCGGAAGAUGUAACGGGGCUAAACCAUGCACCGAAGCUGCGGCAGCGACACUGUGUGUUGUUGGGUAGGGGAGCGU
rnacentral:rRNA from 1 species